rnacentral:rRNA from 1 species
UACGUAGGGUGCAAGCGUUGUCCGGAAUUAUUGGGCGUAAAGAGCUCGUAGGCGGUUUGUCGCGUCUGCUGUGAAAACCCGAGGCUCAACCUCGGGCCUGCAGUGGGUACGGGCAGACUAGAGUGCGGUAGGGGAGAUUGGGAUUCCUGGUGUAGCGGUGGAAUGCGCAGAUAUCAGGAGGAACACCGAUGGCGAAGGCAGAUCUCUGGGCCGUAACUGACGCUGAGGAGCGAAAGCAUGGGGAGCGAACAGG